rnacentral:rRNA from 1 species
CAGUCGCCGCGGGAAUACCAGCACCUCGAGUGGUCAGGAGGUUUAUUGGGCCUAAAGCAUCCGUAGCCGGUUGCAUAAGUUUUCGGUUAAAUCUAUGCGCUUAACGUAUAGGCCGCCGAAAAUACUGUGCAGCUAGGGAGUGGGAGAGGUACACGGUACUCGAUAGGAAGGGGUAAAAUCCUUUGAUCUAUUGAUGACCACCUGUGGCGAAGGCGGUGUACCAGGACACGUUCGACGGUAAGGGAUGAAAGCUGGGGGAGCAAACCGGAUUAGAUACCCGUGUAGUCCCUGUCUCUUAUAC